rnacentral:rRNA from 1 species
UACGUAGGGUGCGAGCGUUAAUCGGAAUUACUGGGCGUAAAGCGUGCGCAGGCGGUUCGUCGUGUCUGAUGUGAAAGCCCCGGGCUCAACCUGGGAAUGGCAUUGGAAACUGGCGGACUAGAGUGUGGCAGAGGGGGGUGGAAUUCCGGCGUGUAGCAGUGAAAUGCGUAGAGAUGCGGAGGAACACCGAUGGCGAAGGCAGCCCCCUGGGCGUAACACUGACGCU